UCUGUUGAGAAUUUUGGAUCUUAAUAGCCAAAAUAACGGUAUAGGAACGCUAAAUUUACACUUAGAAUUUAUAUUAGACUAGUUAUAUAUUUAUUUGAUAAUCGAUUUCAAAGAUAUUCAUCGAUACACACUUGCACGCGUCUCGGCACUUCCUUCCAUACCAGACUGUUAACCGACUGAACAUUUUACAUUCCUUUGUUUUUGAGACGCCGUGCACACACAUACUUCCACACACUGAUAUUCAUAUACAAGUAUUACUACUACGCAGCUAACCUAGUCUAGCACAUAAAAUUAUACAUAUCUCAAUAAUUUUAAUACAGUAAA